UACAGAGACCUCAAGCGUUAUCCGGAAUCAUUGGGCGUAAAGCGUUCCGAUAGGUGGUUUACUAAGUUUUGGGUAAAAGCCAGAAGCUCAAACUUUCUGCGUUUGCUCAAGGUACUGGUGGACUAGAGGAAGAAAGAGGUGGGCUGGAACCAACGGUGUAGUAGUGAAAUGCGUUGAUAUCGUUGGGAACACCGAAAGCGAAGGCAGGCCACGUGGGUCUUUCCUGACACUGCUAGGACGAAAGCGUGGGGAGCGAAGUGGG
rnacentral:rRNA from 1 species